rnacentral:rRNA from 1 species
GACGAACGCUGGCGGCGUGCUUAACACAUGCGAGUCGAACGGAAAGGCCUGCUUUCCCUUGUGGAUUGCGGGUACUCGAGUGGCGAACGGGUGAGUAACACGUGAGUGAUCUGCCCCCAACUUGGGUAUAAGCCUGGGAAACUGGGUCUAAUUCCCGAUAGGACUGCAGGGUGGUGCCUGUGGUGGAAAACGAUUUUCUAGUGGUUGGGGAUGAGCUCGCGGCCUAUCAGCUUGUUGGUGGGGUAAUGGCCUACCAAGGCGGCGACGGGUAGCCGGCCUGGGAGGGUGGACGGCCACAUUGGGACUGAGAUACGGCCCAGACUCCUACGGGAGGCAGCAGUGGGGAAUAUUGCACAAUGGGCGGAAGCCUGAUGCAGCGACGCCGCGUGGGGGAUGACGGCCUUCGGGUUGUAAACUCCUUUCGACCGCGAGGAAGCCACCUGGUUGGAAGGGUGGUGACGGUAGUGGUAGAAGAAGCACCGGCUAACUACGUG